AACCUACAAUUCGUAUCUUUAAUAGAUUUGACAUUAUAGAAAUGGAAAGGCCAGAGCCCCGGCAAUUAUGUCAGGAAUACUAAUAACACUAAUGAUAUCAAUCAUACAAGUUGAAGUGGAGAGGAAGGUUUUAAAAAUUCCAUCUCUUCUCCAAGUGAUAGGGUACUUCUUGCUGCACAAUGUAAUUUGGUGGCUGCAACAGUCCAAAAUGUUUUUAAAGAGCUCAGAAACAUCUCAAAUAAUGUAAACAGCCUGCUAUCUGUGAUAGCUCUGCAUUCUCUUCCCAAGCCAAUUACUGAGAAGUGGGACGGUAUUGAAACAUCAUAUAAUAAUGCAGUUGGUCAACCUUUCCAACUCUCCAUAGUCAAUAAUUCUUCAAUGGAUCCAAUCCUACUUCUCCAGGCUAACAAGACGCAUGAAAUUAUAGCACCAACCACUGCCAGGCAACUCUGUUCAGAAUGCUAAUCUCCACAGCUGGCCAGUGCGAGGGUUCAUGUGUGUUGACAGAGGAACCUAAUGGCUUGUGUGCGUGCAAAGCAGGAAUCAGUAGCCUUGCCUUAGGCCCCCAGAUGUUAAGCGAACCUGCAAGGAUGGCUUUGCAACAGUGUGAAGCUGGGGUGUGAUAUGACAGAGGGAGACUGGAAUGGAGUAUCUUGAAAUAAGGCAUUGAACUAGCUUGCAGACAUACCAAAUGGAAGCACCUCAUCUGGCAACAGUAUGUUUCUGUACCACCUUUCUGUUUUAUAAAUUAUUUGUAAAUAUUAUGUGCAACAAAAUGAGUCAUAUACUAACAGCAUUGCAAAUCUAUCCUGAAGGGUUGCUAAACCUUUGGGUGUAGCUGUGUUGGAAUGAAAAACUGUUAAAAUACAAGGUAAAAGUUACAAAAAAAAAAUUAUGUGACUUGCUUUAUGACACUAUUUGAGCCAGCGCCCUCUGCUGUCAUCUGACACAUUAUACCUGUCUCAUACAAAGGUGUCCUAGUAAUUAGAAUGCAGGAAAUUGUUUUUCCCAUGAGUGAAGUCUCUCAACAAAAUCACGGCUUGUUGGCUGUAUUCUCAUGCAUUUCAGCUUCUCCUCUACAGUACGGUAUUGAAAGUUGUGGAAGCUUUGCAGCCGCUUUGCAAACCCUUUUUAAAAUGCUAAUAAACACAUCUAUCUCCUUUU